rnacentral:lncRNA from 1 species
CUUUGAGCAAGAGGACAAACCUGGGUAGGGAUCUCUAUGAUGUUUUCUGCGUUGCCCGUGGACGUUCAUCUUUCUGAUUUGUUAGCUGAAGAUGAGGAUCUGGAGCAGGAGCUCGGAGUGCCAUUGUUCCAUGGGCAGAUGUGCAGCAGAGAUUAGCAUUAGGAAGACAAGCAGGGCCUUCAGUAGGCAUAAGGUGAUGAGGUUCAUGCCGUUGGAUCCCACGGGUGCCCUGGGGAAGAGAUGGUUGGGAAGUCUGAGAGGAAGCAGGAGAGCUUUCGGAGCACAUGGAUGCCGUCCAGAAUGGAGAUGGUUGUGGCUCGGAAGAAAAAGAAAUCACCCAGCUCGGAGUCAGGAUACAUUUGGAGGUCCAGGCCGCCGAGUUUGCUGGUGGGGAAGAUAGGCACCAGAAAGGAAAGAGGACAUCCAGGGCAAUUUCUUCUGCCCCCCAGCCAAUCCGUACAUUGUCCAGAGGCCAAGCCUACUGCUGUUAGAAAACAUAUUUAGAAAUCACUUGGUUCUUCCUUGCCUGAACAUCAUCUAUUUAGUUAGCUUGUGUUGUUUAGAU